AGCGCAGGCGGCCAAAUCAGUCUGAAGUGGAAGCCCGGGGCUUAACCCCGGAAUUGCUUUGGAUACUGUUUGGCUUGAAUAUGUGAGAGGAAAGUGGAAUUCCAGGUGUAGCGGUGAAAUGCGUAGAUAUCUGGAGGAACACCAGUGGCGAAAGCGACUUUCUGGCACAUUAUUGACGCUGAGGCUCGAAAGCGUGGGGAGCGAACA
rnacentral:rRNA from 1 species